rnacentral:rRNA from 1 species
CGCGGUACCCUGACCGUGCAAAGGUAGCGUAAUCACUUGUCUUUUAAUUGAAGACCCGUAUGAAUGGCACCACGAGAGUUUAUCUGUCUCUAUUUCCCAAUCAAUGAAAUUGAUCUCCCCGUGCAGAAGCGGGAAUUAUAUUAUAAGACGAGAAGACCCUAUGGAGCUUCAAAUAAUUAAAUUAAUAAACAAAACAUUUAAAACGACAGUUCUAAACACUACAGCUUUAUUUUAAUUUAACAUUUUUGGUUGGGGCAACCAAGGGGAACAAAAAAACCCCCUCAUCGAUUAAGUACUAUAUGUACUUAAAAUAAUAGAAAGACUUUUCAAAUUUACAGAACAUCUGACGAAAUAUGACCCAAGAACCUUCUUGAUCAAUGAACCAAGUUACCCUAGGGAUAACAGCGCAAUCCUUUCCAAGAGUCCAUAUCGCCGAAAGGGCUUACGACCUCGAUGUUGGAUCAGGAU